AUGAGUAACUUGCAGGUGCUCUGAUACGUAACGGGAUGAGAUCUUUUGUUAUUGCUUUUGUAUUUCUUACGUAUUGUUUUUGAAGAUUUAUGACUAUGUUUUUAGAUUGGAUUUUUAUGAGACAUUUAUGAAGAGGCCUUCGUGCCAAAGACUGUUUAGGGUGUGUUUGUUUAAAGUUAUAAUUUUUGAUUCCCGGGAAUAAAAUGAUAGGAAUGUAUAUGCCUAUGUUUGUUAC
rnacentral:lncRNA from 1 species